CUUAGCAUUAACAGAAUUUAGGUUUCAGCCAUUUUGUAUAUUUAUAUGAUCCAUUUUAUCUACAUCGAUUGGGGUAGUUGAAUAUUCUGUUUGAGGUAUAUCAUUUAUGCCUGACAGAGAUUAAAACUGUUUAGUGGCUUUCAUUACUUUUAGGAAAAAAGACCUAAAUAUUUAGCUCUGCAUCACCUGGCUCCUGCCUGCCUCUUCAUUUUCGUCUCUUACUGCUCCUCCCUCUCAGUUUCUGCAUUCCAGAUUUGCUGGCCUUUUGGGUCCUCCAGCUCCUUGUUCCAUCUGUCACAAGACUUUGCAAUUUCGUUACCUUGUCCACACUGUUCCACUCCCACCCCAGCAUCACAACCAAGCUCACACCUAGUUAAUGCCCACUCAUCUUUGAUACUUUAAAAAAAUUUUUUUUAAUUUUAACGUGUAUUUAUUUUUGAGAGACAGAGAGAGACAGAGUGUGAGUGGGGAGGGGCAGAGAGAGAAGGAGACACAGAAUCUGAAGCAGGCUCCAGGCUCUGAGCUGUUGGCACAGAGCCCAAUGCAGGGCUUGAACUCACAAACUGUGAAAUCAUGACCUGAGCUGAAGUCAGAUGCUUAACAGACUGAGCCACCGAGGCGCCCCUUGUCUUUGACACUUCUUCGGGGAAACUUUCCCUGCCUCCACCCCCACCCCACCCCCACCCUCACUCUGCUGGGCAAGCCUCCCUUCUUGGUAAGAUCUCAUAGCAUUCUGCACUUUAAUUUUCCUUCAGAACACUUACCAUAGUUUUAAAGUAUAUAUUUGGAUGAUUAUUCACUUCCCAACUAGACUGUAAGUAUCUUGGAAGCAAGAACUAUGUCUAUUUCACCCAUUACUUUGUUCCUGCCAGUGCUUGGUGCAUUUAGAUUCCUAUUUUUGGGGGGAGCCUGGGUGGUUCAGUUGGUUAAGCAUCCAACUUUGGCUCAGGUCAUGAUCUCACAGUCUGUGAGUUCAAGCCCCGCGAUGGGCUCUGUGCCAACAGCUUAGAGCCUGGAGCCUGCUUCGGAUUCUGUGUCUCCCUUUCUGCUCCUCCCUUGCUCAACGCUGUCUCUCUCAAAAUUAAACGUUAAAAAAAAUUUUUAAUUAAAAAAAUUUAGACUCAUAUUUUUUGAAUAGUGAAGAGACUAGUCUGAAGGAUGAGGGAUCUUAUUUUAAAUUAAAAUAUAGAAAUCAGUAAAACACUUGAUAACUAAUGGAGUAUGGGGAUGUAGUGGGUACUGUGGUGUGAUGCCCAGUUUUCCUCUUGUAGACUACUCAUCCCUCCAGAUGCUGAGAAUUUUUUUAAAAAUGUUUACUUUUGAGAGAGAGAAAGCACACUCAUGUGCAUGUGAGUGAGGGAGGGUCUGAGAGAGGGAGAGAGACAGAAUCCCAAGCAGGCUCCGUGCUGUCAGUGCAGAGCCCGGCGCGGGGCUCAAUCCCAUGAAUGGUGAGAUCAUGACUUGAACCAAAACCAAGAGUCAAACGCUUAAGACUGAACCACCCAGGUGCCCCACAUGCUAGGAGUUUUGAUGGCCAAUGCUUCUCACCCUAGACCCUCUAUAGGAAUUGCCCACAGGAAAGAGAGCCACCUUACCUAAGGUCACGCCCCUUCCUGAAAGCAGGUCACUUGCAGUGACAGGUUAAUGGGGGGCAUGUGCUCCACUCAUUGCCUCAGUGAAGGGCCAUUCCAGGUCGUGGUAGGAUUGACUGAGGCCACUGUUUGAACUGCAUCAACUGUUCAACCCCCUCCCACUUCACCUUUCCUCCCUCAGGCCUCACAUGCUGUUCCUGAGAGCUUGUCUCCUCCCUCUCCCCCCAAUAAACCACCUGCACACAAGUCUCAGGAGUCUGUUUCCCAGGGAACAGACUGAGAACUGUGGGCGAGGGAGAGGGAGGAUCCUAAGGUAGCUCCUCAAUUUCUGUUUUGAGACCGCACAUGAUGCCAUCCACUGAGAUGAGCACAGGAAGGUGAUAAUGUACAGGAACUGAAGCAGGUUUGCUGGAAAAGAGAGAAGCUUGAUACGCUCAAGGAUUAAACCAAUUUAAAGAAGAAGAAGUGAUAUAAGUUGUUUGGAGGUACUUUCCAAACGUUGUUCCAGGUUUGGGGUCUGAGGAUAUAAAGGAAGUGGCUUUUACCACGCUUCACUUUGAAUGAGUGCAUGCACGUGUAACCUGGAGAGAGGGGCAGAGGAAGAGAGAGAGAGAAUCCCAAGCAGGCUACGCCUUCAGCAUGGAGCCUGACAUAGGGCUCGAUCCCACAACCUUGGGAUCAUGACCCGAGUAGAAAUCAAGAGUUGGAUGCCCAACUGACUGAGCUGUGCAGCUUGCCCCUUGGGUAAGUUUUGUAAACUCCCUAAGCAUCAGUUUUCUUAUCUAUAAGAUGAUGAUAAUAGCACCUUAUCUAAAGAUCAUGUAUUAAAUAUAUGAAGAACUUAGAACAGUGCCUUGUUAAUAGUAGAUUCUCAGUAAAUCAUUCACUAUUCAC